rnacentral:rRNA from 1 species
UGGGGAAUAUUGCGCAAUGGGGGAAACCCUGAUGCAGCGACGCCGCGUGAGGGAAGACGGUUUUCGGAUUGUAAACCUCUGUCUCUGGUGAAGAUAAUAACGGUAACCAGAGAGGAAGCCACGGCUAACUACGUGCCAGCAGCCGCGGUAAUACGUAGGUGGCAAGCGUUGUCCGGAAUUACUGGGUGUAAAGAGUACGUAGGCGGCAAGGUAAGUCUGAUGUGAAAUGCGGGAGCUUAACUUCCGAACGGCAUUGGAUACUGCUUUGCUAGAGCAAUGGAGGGGAAACCGGAAUUCUCGGUGUAGCAGUGAAAUGCGUAGAUAUCGAGAGGAACACUCGUGGCGAAGGCGGGUUUCUGGACAUUAGCUGACGCUGAGGUACGAAGGCCAGGGUAGCGAAAG